GCGCGCCAUCAUCGAGGACCUGAGCCCCAGCACCCGCCUCCUCAGCAGCUCCGUGCCCACCGAGCAUUCGAGGAGCACCAUGGAGCACCAACGAAUAUCAACAAAGUUUGAAAAAAUUUUAGCUGGCUUGGACGAACAAUCUCGUUUGCUUAAACAAAUCGAGGUUCAGAUGGAAGAAAAUAAUAAGGAAGCACUUAUUUGGGGCAUCGCGGAGCGAUAGACCUUACACCAUGGGUUGUGUCUAUACCUGUCUCGUUCCUUCUGUUCACCCUUUAUAAUUAUGUACAGAGCUGACUGACUCAAGAGCAGGAAAAUUGGGAAGUGCAAUUUAACUUGUAUGAACUCUCUGUUUAUUUUGGAAGUAGAGUGACGUAGUUCCUCAAAUGUUCUAUGGAAUUGGAAGGUUUAAUUUGAUAAAGCGAUUUGUGAUCUAUGCUCGUUGGCUGUUCCUUUGGUUGCUUAUUGUUCUGCACUGAACUGAAUGUAAGAUCAGGGUGAAUGGAGGGCUUUGUGUGGAUUUAUGUGAGCUGUACAUACCGACGCCAA